rnacentral:rRNA from 1 species
CAAGUCGAACGGCAGCACGGGCGCAAUCCUGGUGGCGAGUGGCGAACGGGUGAGUAAUACAUCGGAACGUGCCCAGUAGUGGGGGAUAGCUCGGCGAAAGCCGGAUUAAUACCGCAUACGACCUACGGGUGAAAGCGGGGGACCGCAAGGCCUCGCGCUAUUGGAGCGGCCGAUGUCAGAUUAGCUAGUUGGUGGGGUAAAGGCCUACCAAGGCGACGAUCUGUAGCUGGUCUGAGAGGACGACCAGCCACACUGGGACUGAGACACGGCCCAGACUCCUACGGGAGGCAGCAGUGGGGAAUUUUGGACAAUGGGGGCAACCCUGAUCCAGCCAUGCCGCGUGCGGGAAGAAGGCCUUCGGGUUGUAAACCGCUUUUGUCAGGGAAGAAACGCGCUGGGCUAAUACCUCGGCGUAAUGACGGUACCUGAAGAAUAAGCACCGGCUAACUACGUGCCAGCAGCCGCGGUAAUACGUAGGGUGCAAGCGUUAAUCGGAAUUACUGGGCGUAAAGCGUGCGCAGGCGGCUUUGCAAGACAGAUGUGAAAUCCCCGGGCUUAACCUGGGAACUGCAUUUGUGACUGCAUGGCUGGAGUGCGGCAGAGGGGGAUGGAAUUCCGCGUGUAGCAGUGAAAUGCGUAUAUAUGCGGAAGAACACCGAUGGCGAAGGCAAUCCCGUGGGCCUGCACUGACGCUCAUGCACGAAAGCGUGGGGAGCAAACAGGAUUAGAUACCCUGAUAGUCCACGCCCUAAACGAUGUCAACUGGUUGUUGGACGGCUUGCUGUUC